rnacentral:rRNA from 1 species
ACACUCCUGCGGGAGGCAGCAGUGGAGAAUAUUGGACAAUGGGCGCAAGCCUGAUCCAGCCAUGCCGCGUGAGUGAUGAAGGCCCUAGGGUUGUAAAGCUCUUUCACCGGAGAAGAUAAUGACGGUAUCCGGAGAAGAAGCCCCGGCUAACUUCGUGCCAGCAGCCGCGGUAAUACGAAGGGGGCUAGCGUUGUUCGGAAUUACUGGGCGUAAAGCGCACGUAGGCGGAUCGAUCAGUCAGGGGUGAAAUCCCAGGGCUCAACCCUGGAACUGCCUUUGAUACUGUCGAUCUGGAGUAUGGAAGAGGUGAGUGGAAUUCCGAGUGUAGAGGUGAAAUUCGUAGAUAUUCGGAGGAACACCAGUGGCGAAGGCGGCUCACUGGUCCAUUACUGACGCUGAGGUGCGAAAGCGUGGGGAGCAAACAGGAUUAGAAACCCCGGUAGUCCCAUGAU